rnacentral:rRNA from 1 species
UUAACACAUGCAAGUCGAGCGCCCCGCAAGGGGAGCGGCAGACGGGUGAGUAACGCGUGGGAACGUACCCUUUGGUCUGGAAUAACUCAGGGAAACUUGAGCUAAUACCGGAUAAGCCCUUUUGGGGAAAGAUUUAUCGCCGAAGGAUCGGCCCGCGUCCGAUUAGCUAGUUGGUGUGGUAACGGCGCACCAAGGCGACGAUCGGUAGCUGGUCUGAGAGGAUGAUCAGCCACACUGGGACUGAGACACGGCCCAGACUCCUACGGGAGGCAGCAGUGGGGAAUAUUGGACAAUGGGCGCAAGCCUGAUCCAGCCAUGCCGCGUGAGUGAUGAAGGCCUUAGGGUUGUAAAGCUCUUUCACUCGCGACGAUAAUGACGGUAGCGAGAGAAGAAGCCCCGGCUAACUUCGUGCCAGCAGCCGCGGUAAUACGAAGGGGGCUAGCGUUGCUCGGAAUCACUGGGCGUAAAGCGCACGUAGGCGGAUCUUUAAGUCAGGGGUGAAAUCCCAAGGCUCAACCUUGGAACUGCCUUUGAUACUGGGGAUCUCGAGUCCGGAAGAAGUUGGUGGAACUGC